rnacentral:rRNA from 1 species
CCUACGGGAGGCAGCAGUGGGGAAUAUUGGACAAUGGGCGAAAGCCUGAUCCAGCCAUGCCGCGUGUGUGAAGAAGGCCUUCGGGUUGUAAAGCACUUUCAGUGGGGAAGAAAGCCUUGGGGCUAAUACCCUCGAGGAAGGACAUCACCCACAGAAGAAGCACCGGCUAACUCCGUGCCAGCAGCCGCGGUAAUACGGAGGGUGCGAGCGUUAACCGGAAUUACUGGGCGUAAAGCGCGCGUAGGCGGUCUGAUAAGCCGGUUGUGAAAGCCCCGGGCUCAACCUGGGAACGGCAUCCGGAACUGUCAGGCUAGAGUGCAGGAGAGGAAGGUAGAAUUCCCGGUGUAGCGGUGAAAUGCGUAGAGAUCGGGAGGAAUACCAGUGGCGAAGGCGGCCUUCUGGACUGACACUGACGCUGAGGUGCGAAAGCGUGGGUAGCAAACAGGAUUAGAUACCCCAGUAGUC